UAGCUACACAUGCAGUCGAACGGCAGCACAGAGGAGCUUGCUCCUUGGGUGGCGAGUGGCGGACGGGUGAGGAAUACAUCGGAAUCUACUUUUUCGUGGGGGAUAACGUAGGGAAACUUACGCUAAUACCGCAUACGACCUACGGGUGAAAGCAGGGGACCUUCGGGCCUUGCGCGAUUGAAUGAGCCGAUGUCGGAUUAGCUAGUUGGCGGGGUAAAGGCCCACCAAGGCGACGAUCCGUAGCUGGUCUGAGAGGAUGAUCAGCCACACUGGAACUGAGACACGGUCCAGACUCCUACGGGAGGCAGCAGUGGGGAAUAUUGGACAAUGGGCGCAAGCCUGAUCCAGCCAUACCGCGUGGGUGAAGAAGGCCUUCGGGUUGUAAAGCCCUUUUGUUGGGAAAGAAAUCCAGCCGGCUAAUACCUGGUUGGGAUGACGGUACCCAAAGAAUAAGCACCGGCUAACUUCGUGCCAGCAGCCGCGGUAAUACGAAGGGUGCAAGCGUUACUCGGAAUUACUGGGCGUAAAGCGUGCGUAGGUGGUUGUUUAAGUCUGUUGUGAAAGCCCUGGGCUCAACCUGGGAACUGCAGUGGAAACUGGACAACUAGAGUGUGGUAGAGGGUAGCGGAAUUCCCGGUGUAGCAGUGAAAUGCGUAGAG
rnacentral:rRNA from 1 species